rnacentral:rRNA from 1 species
CACUAUCGUUAACUGAAUACAUAGGUUAACGAGGCGAACCGGGGGAACUGAAACAUCUAAGUACCCCGAGGAAAAGAAAUCAACCGAGAUUCCCCCAGUAGCGGCGAGCGAACGGGGAGCAGCCCAGAGUCUGAAUCAGCUUGUGUGUUAGUGGAACGGUCUGGAAAGUCCGACGGUACAGGGUGAUAGUCCCGUACACCAAAAUGCACAGGUUGUGAACUCGAAGAGUAGGGCGGGACACGUGGUAUCCUGUCUGAAUAUGGGGGGACCAUCCUCCAAGGCUAAAUACUCCUGACUGACCGAUAGUGAACCAGUACCGUGAGGGAAAGGCGAAAAGAACCCCGGCGAGGGGAGUGAAAAAGAACCUGAAACCGUGUACGUACAAGCAGUGGGAGCACCUUCGGGUGUGACUGCGUACCUUUUGUAUAAUGGGUCAGCGACUUAUAUUCUGUAGCAAGGUUAACCGUAUAGGGGAGCCGCAGGGAAACCGAGUCUUAACUGGGCGUUAAGUUGCAGGGUAUAGACCCGAAACCCGGUGAUCUAGCCAUGGGCAGGUUGAAGGUUGGGUAACACUAACUGGAGGACCGAACCGACUAAUGUUGAAAAAUUAGCGGAUGACUUGUGGCUGGGGGUGAAAGGCCAAUCAAACCGGGAGAUAGCUGGUUCUCCCCGAAAGCUAUUUAGGUAGCGCCUCGUGAACUCAUCUUCGGGGGUAGAGCACUGUUUCGGCUAGGGGGUCAUCCCGACUUACCAACCCGAUGCAAACUACGAAUACCGAAGAAUGUUAUCACGGGAGACACACGGCGGGUGCUAACGUCCGUCGUGAAGAGGGAAACAACCCAGACCGCCAGCUAAGGUCCCAAAGUCAUGGUUAAGUGGGAAACGAUGUGGGAAGGCACAGACAGCCAGGAUGUUGGCUUAGAAGCAGCCAUCAUUUAAAGAAAGCGUAAUAGCUCACUGGUCGAGUCGGCCUGCGCGGAAGAUGUAACGGGGCUAAACCAUGCACCGAAGCUGCGGCAGCGACACUAUGUGUUGUUGGGUAGGGGAGCGUUCUGUAAGCCUGCGAAGGUGNUGCUGGAGGUAUCAGAAGUGCGAAUGCUGACAUAAGUAACGAUAAAGCGGGUGAAAAGCCCGCUCGCCGGAAGACCAAGGGUUCCUGUCCAACGUUAAUCGGGGCAGGGUGAGUCGACCCCUAAGGCGAGGCCGAAAGGCGUAGUCGAUGGGAAACAGGUUAAUAUUCCUGUACUUGGUGUUACUGCGAAGGGGGGACGGAGAAGGCUAUGUUAGCCGGGCGACGGUUGUCCCGGUUUAAGCAUGUAGGCUGGUUAUCCAGGCAAAUCCGGAUAAUCAAGGCUGAGGUGUGAUGACGAGGCACUACGGUGCUGAAGUAACAAAUGCCCUGCUUCCAGGAAAAGCCUCUAAGCAUCAGGUAACAUCAAAUCGUACCCCAAACCGACACAGGUGGUCAGGUAGAGAAUACCAAGGCGCUUGAGAGAACUCGGGUGAAGGAACUAGGCAAAAUGGUGCCGUAACUUCGGGAGAAGGCACGCUGGUGUGUAGGUGAAGUCCCUGCGGAUGGAGCUGAGACCAGUCGAAGAUACCAGCUGGCUGCAACUGUUUAUUAAAAACACAGCACUGUGCAAACACGAAAGUGGACGUAUACGGUGUGACGCCUGCCCGGUGCCGGAAGGUUAAUUGAUGGGGUUAUCCGUAAGGAGAAGCUCUUGAUCGAAGCCCCGGUAAACGGCGGCCGUAACUAUAACGGUCCUAAGGUAGCGAAAUUCCUUGUCGGGUAAGUUCCGACCUGCACGAAUGGCGUAAUGAUGGCCAGGCUGUCUCCACCCGAGACUCAGUGAAAUUGAACUCGCUGUGAAGAUGCAGUGUACCCGCGGCAAGACGGAAAGACCCCGUGAACCUUUACUAUAGCUUGACACUGAACAUUGAGCCUUGAUGUGUAGGAUAGGUGGGAGGCUUUGAAGCGUGGACGCCAGUCUGCGUGGAGCCAACCUUGAAAUACCACCCUUUAAUGUUUGAUGUUCUAACGUUGGCCCCUGACCGGGGUUGCGGACAGUGUCUGGUGGGUAGUUUGACUGGGGCGGUCUCCUCCCAAAGCGUAACGGAGGAGCACGAAGGUUAGCUAAUCCUGGUCGGACAUCAGGAGGUUAGUGCAAUGGCAUAAGCUAGCUUGACUGCGAGCGUGACGGCGCGAGCAGGUGCGAAAGCAGGUCAUAGUGAUCCGGUGGUUCUGAAUGGAAGGGCCAUCGCUCAACGGAUAAAAGGUACUCCGGGGAUAACAGGCUGAUACCGCCCAAGAGUUCAUAUCGACGGCGGUGUUUGGCACCUCGAUGUCGGCUCAUCACAUCCUGGGGCUGAAGUAGGUCCCAAGGGUAUGGCUGUUCGCCAUUUAAAGUGGUACGCGAGCUGGGUUUAGAACGUCGUGAGACAGUUCGGUCCCUAUCUGCCGUGGGCGCUGGAGAAUUGAGGGGGGCUGCUCCUAGUACGAGAGGACCGGAGUGGACGCAUCACUGGUGUUCGGGUUGUCAUGCCAAUGGCACUGCCCGGUAGCUAAAUGCGGAAGAGAUAAGUGCUGAAAGCAUCUAAGCACGAAACUUGCCCCGAGAUGAGUUCUCCCUGAGACU